UCCUGACUGUGGACAGAAUGCGCUUUGCAGCCUCACACUGCUGCAGCUGAGACUCUUCACCAUAGUAGACAGUAUUUCUUUUUAAAUGUGAGUCGCAAUGAGUUCUUCUUUUCUGCAGUUGUCAGGCAUUCUGUUACAUGAAAUUUGAGGGAAACAAAACAAAACAAAACAAAUAAUUCCACCGUAGACUAAGAUUUGCAGGCUCUCCCUGACAGGGCGCAUGUCACUCUAGAAACACUGACUUGGGUAAUUUAUCCAAGUAUUGAAACAACCCUAAGAAGUGGGUGUUCACUCUUCAGUAAUGAAAUGGGCUUAUAGAUGAGGAAGCGAUUGUCCAGAUAUCCCUCAGGUGAUAGAUGCCGGGGGCUAGGAUCUGCAUUCUGGUGCCUUCCGUCAACCACUAUGCUACAUGGAUGGAAACUCACAGGACCUUGGACUUCAUCACCAAGGUAUUGUGCUUGCCUGCAUGUAUGUCUGUAUACCACAUACAUGCAAUGCCUAUGGAGACCAGAAGAGGGCAGUGGUCCGCUAGGACUGGAAUGACAGAAUGUUCGAGAGCUGGGAAUAGGAUCUGGGUCCUCUCAAAGAUGCAAAACACAUGAAACUGAAGAACGAAGACCAAAGUGUGGACACUUUGCCCCUUCUUAGAAUUGGAAACAAUCAUCCAUGGAAGGAGUUACAGAGACAAAGUUUGGAGCUGAGACAAAAGGAUGGACCAUCUAGAGACUGCCAUAUCCAGGGAUCCAUCCCAUAAUUAGCCUCCAAACGAUGGCACCAUUGCAUACACUAGCAAGCAUUUGCUGAAAGUACCAUGAUAUAGCUGUCUCUUGUGAGACUAGGCCGGGGCCUAGCAAACACAUAAGUGGAUGCUCACAGUCAGCUAUUGGAUGGAUCACAGGGCCCCCAAUGGAGGAGCUAGAGAAAGUACCCAAGGAGCUAAAGAGAUCUGCAAUCCUGUAGGUGCAACAACAUUAUGAACUAACCACUACCCUGGAGCUCUUGACUCUAGCUGCAUAUGUAUCAAAAGAUGGCCUAGUCGGCCAUCACUGGAAAGGGAGGCCCAUUGGACAUGCAAACUUUAUAUGCCCCAGUACAGGGGAACGCCAGGGACAAAAAGUGGGAAUGGGUGGGUAGGGAGUGGGGGGGGGAGGGUAUGAGGGACUUUUGGGAUAGCAUUGGAAAUGUAAUUGAGGAAAAUACGUAAUAAAAAAAUAUUAAAAAAAAAAAAAAGAGCAACCACUAGUAACGUCUGAACAAUGUCUCCAGCCCCCAAAACAAUUCUUGAAAGUGUUUUGUUGUUGUUGUUCUGUUUUGUUUUAAACUUUUACAUGAAUGCUGGAGCAUGCACAUCCUAUCCUAAACAAAUAAAUUUAAAAAUAAUAAAAAGGAUCAAGGCCACAGCAUGAAAAUUAGGGAUGGGAUAUGCCAUACACAGUCAAUCCCCCAGUCUUGUCUUUCUGCAGGCGGUGUAGCACACAUGUAUAACACAGAGAGUUUCUUACUUAAGUUGGUCUUCCUUGCCACCCAAGUAAUAUGCUAAACUAUAACACAAAUCAACUCAGUUUUCAGUAAUAUUCACAUUAUAAAAAAACCCCUGGAAGUGGGCGAGUGGGAAGGGUGUCGCCAGGCAACCUUUGAUGAUUCAUGCAAUUUUAUGGUAAUGUAACAUUUACUAACAAUUGGGAUUAAAGCUUCUGAUCUCUCUGCACUGUA